rnacentral:rRNA from 1 species
GCGUGAGUGAAGAAGGCCUUAGGGUUGUAAAGCUCUUUUACCAGGGACGAUAAUGACGGUACCUGGAGAAUAAGCUCCGGCUAACUCCGUGCCAGCAGCCGCGGUAAUACGGAGGGAGCUAGCGUUGUUCGGAAUUACUGGGCGUAAAGCGUGCGUAGGCGGCGAUUCAAGUCAGAGGUGAAAGCCUGGAGCUCAACUCCAGAACUGCCUUUGAAACUAGAUCGCUAGAAUCUUGGAGAGGUCAGUGGAAUUCCGAGUGUAGAGGUGAAAUUCGU